GACGAACGCUGGCGGCGUGCUUAACACAUGCAAGUCGAACGGAAAGGCCCUGCUUUUGUGGGGUGCUCGAGUGGCGAACGGGUGAGUAACACGUGAGUAACCUGCCCUUGGCUUUGGGAUAACUUCAGGAAACUGGGGCUAAUACCGGAUAGGAGCUCCUGCUGCAUGGUGGGGGUUGGAAAGUUUCGGCGGUUGGGGAUGGACUCGCGGCUUAUCAGCUUGUUGGUGGGGUAGUGGCUUACCAAGGCUUUGACGGGUAGCCGGCCUGAGAGGGUGGCCGGCCACAUUGGGACUGAGAUACGGCCCAGACUCCUACGGGAGGCAGCAGUGGGGAAUAUUGCACAAUGGGCGGAAGCCUGAUGCAGCAACGCCGCGUGCGGGAUGACGGCCUUCGGGUUGUAAACCGCUUUCGCCUGUGACGAAGCGUGAGUGACGGUAAUGGGUAAAGAAGCACCGGCUAACUACGUG
rnacentral:rRNA from 1 species